GAGGGGCACACAGACCAGUUCAUCAGUCUGCUGUAGAUCUGUCUGUUCUUAACAUAAUUAAACAGGAGAAUCAGAGGGUGACAUUAAGCUGCUCUGUGGUGACCUUUGACCCCUGUAGAUACAAAGUGAAAUGGUUUAAUCAGGAUGUGGACAACAAAGAACCACCAUCAGAGACUGGCUGCUCUGCUACUGUCUCUUUAUCAUCAGGGUCUGAGUUCCCUCAGUGUAAAGUGACUGAUACUGUUACUGAUGAAGAGUUUACCUUCAGUCUUCAGUCCUCAGGAUGGAAAGUUCAACCAACAAACAAACCUGGAAACAAAAACUCAAAGACAACCAGACCAGAAACCGAAAAUAUCUCACCAACCUUUCAAGAAAUAUCAGGAGUAAAAGUUCAACCAACAAACGAACCUGGAAACACAAACUCAAAGACAACCAGACCAGAAACCAAAAACGUCUCACCAGCCUUUCAAGCCACUCCAGGAAACAAGGACCCAAAGCAAACAGUUGGGAGCAGGAGAACUUCUGACACAACAAAUCAAGGUUUAUGGCGUAUCAUCAUCGUCUCUGUGGGUUUAGCAGCUCUUUCUAUAACGGUUGUGAGCAUCAACAUUUGGACCAGAACUAAAG